rnacentral:rRNA from 1 species
AGUGAACGCUGGCGGUAGGCCUAACACAUGCAAGUCGAACGGCAGCACAGUAAGAGCUUGCUCUUACGGGUGGCGAGUGGCGGACGGGUGAGGAAUACAUCGGAAUCUACUUUUUCGUGGGGGAUAACGUAGGGAAACUUACGCUAAUACCGCAUACGACCUACGGGUGAAAGCAGGGGAUCUUCGGACCUUGCGCGAUUGAAUGAGCCGAUGUCGGAUUAGAUAGUUGGCGGGGUAAAGGCCCACCAAGGCGACGAUCCGUAGCUGGUCUGAGAGGAUGAUCAGCCACACGGGAACUGAGACACGGUCCAGACUCCUACGGGAGGCAGCAGUGGGGAAUAUUGGACAAUGGGCGCAAGCCUGAUCCAGCCAUACCGCGUGGGUGAAGAAGGCCUUCGGGUUGUAAAGCCCUUUUGUUGGGAAAGAAAAGCAGCAGGUUAAUACCCCGCUGUUCUGACGGUACCCAAAGAAUAAGCACCGGCUAACUUCGUG